rnacentral:rRNA from 2 species
AGGAAGUGCGGCAGCUAUAAUGCAGUCGAACGAACUCUGGUAUUGAUUGGUGCUUGCAUCAUGAUUUACAUUUGAGUGAGUGGCGAACUGGUGAGUAACACGUGGGAAACCUGCCCAGAAGCGGGGGAUAACACCUGGAAACAGAUGCUAAUACCGCAUAACAACUUGGACCGCAUGGUCCGAGUUUGAAAGAUGGCUUCGGCUAUCACUUUUGGAUGGUCCCGCGGCGUAUUAGCUAGAUGGUGGGGUAACGGCUCACCAUGGCAAUGAUACGUAACCGACCUGAGAGGGUAAUCGGCCACAUUGGGACUGAGACACGGCCCAAACUCCUACGGGAGGCAGCAGUAGGGAAUCUUCCACAAUGGACGAAAGUCUGAUGGAGCAACGCCGCGUGAGUGAAGAAGGGUUUCGGCUCGUAAAACUCUGUUGUUAAAGAAGAACAUAUCUGAGAGUAACUGUUCAGGUAUUGACGGUAUUUAACCAAAAAGCCACCGCUAACUACGUGCCACCAGCCGCGGUAAUACGUAGGUGUCAAGCGUUGUCCCGAUACAUU